GCAGCCGCGGUAAUUCCAGCUCCAAUAGCGUAUAUUAAAGUUGUUGCAGUUAAAAAGCUCGUAGUUGAAUUUCGGGGUUAGUAGGUUGGUCAUGCCUCUGGUAUGUACUGGUCUCACUGAUUCCUCCUUCCUGAUGAACCGUAAUGCCAUUAAUUUGGUGUUGCGGGGAAUUUGGACUGUUACUUUGAAAAAAUUAGAGUGUUUAAAGCAAGCUAACGCUUGAAUACAUUAGCAUGGAAUAAUGAAAUAGGACGUUCGAUCCUAUUUUGUUGGUUUCUAGGAUUGACGUAAUGAUUAAUAGGGAUAGUUGGGGGCAUUAGUAUUCAAUUGUCAGAGGUGAAAUUCUUGGAUUUAUUGAAGACUAACUACUGCGAAAGCAUUUGCCAAGGAUGUUUUCAUUAAUCAAGAACGAAAGUUAGGGGAUCGAAGACGAUCAGAUACCGUCGUAGUCUUAACCAUAAACUAUGCCGACUAGGGAUCGGAUGAUGUUAAUUUUUUAAUGACUCAUUCGGCGCCUUACGGG
rnacentral:rRNA from 1 species